rnacentral:rRNA from 1 species
AUGGACGUAUCAUCUGCAAAUAUCCAAGUCACCCAAAUCCCUGCCAUUUCCAAGGAAAUCAAGGAAGUGAGGGUGGAGCAAGUCCCAACAAGUGACUUUGGGGCGCAUGAUGGGGUCUUGCUAAUGAUCCAAGACAAGCCUAGUGACCGGGAAUAGGACAAGGUCAUGUUCCAUUUGGGUGUAAGAAAAUCGAGACAAUGGGACAAGAGCCACUCAGGGUCAUUCUGUUACAUGGACAAGGAUGUAGGCUUUCAAUCAGUUGAAGAAGGAGGGUCAGGAACUUUUCGACAAGCUUCAACUCAUGAGAUAACCUCCCCUUCACCUUUGGUUGGCUUGCCAGAGUUCUCCUACCUUGGAUGGGGUCAUUGGUUUACUUUGAGGGAUUUGGAACUUGCCACUAACUUUUUGCAAGAUAACAUUAUUGGUGAGGGUGGAUAUGGUGUAGUUUAUCACGGCGAGAUCGUCAAUGGAACUGUUGUUGCUGUCAAAAAGCUUCUCAAUAACCUAGGGCAAGCUGAGAAGGAAUUCAGAGUAGAAGUUGAAGCUAUUGGUCAUGUUCGCCACAAGAACUUAGUCCGUAUUCUUAGUUACUACGUGGAGGGUACUCAGAGGAACUUGUACCAUCUUUCACUGAGUAAUGGGAACCUAGAGCAAUGGCUUCAUGGAGCUAUGAGUCAUCGGGGCUCCCUUACAUGGGAGGCCCACAUCAAGAUUCUUCUAGGGACAGCUAAAGCGCUUGCUUACUUGCAUGAGGCAAUUGAAUUGAAAGUCCACCAUGGUAUCAAAUCUAGCACUAUUUUGCUUCAUGAUGAUUUUGGCACAAAAAUAUCAGAGUUUGGUUUAAAGCUUCUUGGUGCCGGCAAGAGUCAUGUAACUACUCGGGUUAUGGAAACCUUUGGUUAUGUGGCACCAGAAUAUGCAAACAUUGGACUAAAUGAUAAAAGUGACAUUUACAACUUUGCAGUUUUUAUUCUAGAGGCAAUUACAAGGAGGGAUCCUGUUGACUAUGGUCGCUCGACAAAUGAGGUAUUUGCGAGUUGUAAAAACUGUUUGUUAGAUGCAUUCUGCUUGUUUGUAAUACCAUCAAGUGGCAAGACAUGA